CUUCAAACUAGUGGUGUGAACUUUUUUGUCUCUAGAACCGGUUUCUAGUUCAGGUUUUGUUUAAAAAUUUGUGACAACAUAUUUUGAAAUGACAGAAGAACAACAAAAUUGUUGAACAAUGACAUGGACUAUUUGAACUAAAUCGUUAGUCGAUUUCAUGCCUGUUGUGGUUCCUACCAGUCCUAUUUAAAUCCUUUCCUUACUUUUGUUGUUCUCCAAUUUUGCUUACUAUCUCAGUCGUUUCGUUUUUCUCAUUAUAUAUUUUCCUCAUAAGUUUUAAACAUAUUGUUUUAGUAUGUUUAUGUGUGUAUAAGCAUGCUUUGCAUUUUAUUAUAAAUAUUAAUGUAAAUGAUAAGUUUUUCGUAUAGCUAAUCAAAAAUAAUUUAUAAGGUAAAUAAUACAAAUUUAAGUUAUGGAAUUCUGAUAUAAUUCUUUGUUGAAAAUCAAAAUAUGCGUAUUAAAGACUGUACUGUACGAAAUGGAUUACGUUAGGAUUGUAUCAUACUGCGUUUAAGCGCCUCCUGCAAGUCCAAAUCGAACGUAUCGGCUUUGGAGUAGUCGGCAGCGAAUUUCUCUGCAACUUUAUCGCCAUUUUCACCACCCGCACCACCUGCGCCACCCACAGCAAGAGCUACAUCCGGAUUUGAGACUUUGCUUAGAGUUGUGACAUUUUGUACUU